rnacentral:misc_RNA from 1 species
GAUGAAGAACGUAGCGAAAUGCGAUAAGUAGUGUGAAUUGCAGAAUUCAGUGAAUCAUCGAAUAUUUGAACGCACAUUGCGCCCCUUGGUAUCCCGAGGGGCAUGCCUGUUCGAGCGUCAUUUCACCACUCAAGCCUGGCUUGGUGUUGGGCGACGUCCCCUUUGGGGACGCGCCUCGAAACGCUCGGCGGCGUGGCACCGGCUUUAAGCGUAGCAGAAUCUUUCGCUUUGGAAGUCGGGGCCCCGUCUGCCGGAAGACCUACUCGCAAGGUUGACCUCGGAUCAGGCAGGGAUACCCGCUGAACUUAAGCAUAUCAAUAAGCGGAGGA